rnacentral:lncRNA from 1 species
CACGGGACCUGGCCGAGAAGCUGCUCGAGGCUGGGACAGGGCCCGGGGCUGAGUCUGGCAGCUCGUGGCCUCCGAGGUCACACAGACACUCGGGCCGCAAGCAAAGGAGAGCACAGAGCAGAUGCUCCCACCUUGUCUCUCCUGGGCCUCGGCCUGGGCGGGCGGACCUCAGCUCCUGCGCCAGCCACUCAGGGGAACUCACCCACGGGGGCCAUGUCCAUGGGCAGAUCCGAGACGGUCAGCUCCACCAGGCACGGAGCCCACCAGACUCAGAGCCCACGGGGCAUGGAGCCCACCAGACUCGGAGCCCACCAGACAUGGAACCCACCAGAUGUGGAGCCCACCAGGCAUGGAGCCCACCAGACACGGAGCCCACCAGGCACGGAGCCCACCAGACAUGGCACCCACCAGACUUGGAGCCCACCAGGCAUGGAGCCCACCAGGCAUGGAGCCCACCAGACACGGAGCCCACCAGGCACGGAGCCCACCAGAUUUGGAGCCCACCAGACGUGGAGCCCACCAGGCAUGGAGUCCACCAGACCUGGAGCCCACCAGGCACUGAGCCCACCAGGCACGGAGCCCGGAGCCCACCAGACUUGGAGCCCACCAGACUUGGAGCCCACCAGACACAGAGCCCACCAGACACAGAGCCCAGAGCCCACAGGCACGGAGCCCACCAGGCAUGGAGCCCAGAGCCCACCAGGCACAGAGCCCACCAGGCAUGGAGCCCAGAGCCCACCAGACUCGGAGCCCACCAGACAUAGAGCCCACCAGACUCGGAGCCCACAAGACACAGAGCCCAGAGCCCACCAGGCAUGGAGCCCACCAGGCACAGAGCCCACCAGGCACAGAGCCCACCAGGCAUGGAGCCCAGAGCACACCAAACUCAGAGCCCACCAGGCACAGAGCCCACCAGACACAGAGCCCACCAGACUUGGAGCCUACCAGGCAUGGAGCCCACCAGGCACGGAGCCCACCAGGCAUGGAGCCCAGAGCCCACCAGACACGGAGCCCACCAGGCAUGGAGCCCACCAGACACGGAGCCCACCUGACACAGAGCCCACCAGGCACAGAGCCCGCCGUGCAUGUAUAGCCUCUGCCGUGGCAUGUGUGCUCCACAUGCAUCUUCUGGGACCAAACAAAUGAAAGGAUGAGAUCAUAAGCAACUGGGGUGAGCUGAAAUCCAGGUCAUAGGGUGCUUGCUUGUUCAGCUGUUUCAGUUCAAACUCUUUGUUAACAGGGACGGUUGCUUCGAACUUGAGGACCAUGAGAAGGAUGGAUCUUACAUCCUUGUUUCUGUGAGCAAAUAGAAAAGUCUCCAGUCAUAUUUCUGAUUUUCUUUUUCUUUCUUAUUUUUCUUCCCACCUGCAGUAUGUUUCCCAGUUUCUGCCAUCUAUGAACUCUGAUGAUUGUAUUGUUUCCUUCUGUAAUUAUUUGCGGGUGAAAUAUUUUAUUAGCUGUUUGUAGAGUGUAUUUAACAUAAAUGUGUCUCAAGAUAUAAAAGCCAAUUGGUGGACACAGGAAAAUUUUUUGAAGAGACCUUAAGAUAUUUUAAAUAAAUUAAAGAUAUUUAUUACCA